GGGAGACAGGGAGGCCUGGGUUUACUGCCGGAAAAGACUCCUCCUGGACAGAGCCCUCUGCCACCCCUGCCCUAGGCCAGUCCCCUCUGAGGCCCCUGGGCCCCGCCAGGGUUCAGAUCUUGCACACAGCCUCAGGAGGCAGGAGGUGACAGUCCCUGUCUGCUGGGGCCCUGGCACCCCACCCGGAGGAGCUGUCCAGUGCCGGGCAUCCCUACAGGACCAGUGAGGAGGUGGCCAGUAUGUGGUGCACUGAAGACCCUUCCCCAGGGGCAUCAGAGGCUCUGGAAUUUGCUAACAGUGGCUCACAGGACCUGGCUGCAGUCCCCACCCUGGGGGCUGUCUCCUGGUGGGCAGCCCACGGUGAGGACCUGAGGCUGCGUUGGGGUCCCGGAGGCUGUCAGGUUGGCCAUGCUGAGCCUGCGGGAGGGAGGGUGAAGGGUGACCCAGGAGGGCCCUGGGCCCUGGAGAGGGGGAUCAGGGGCUGAACCCUGGGUAUCUGUCUUUCCCCAGGAGAGGCAUCUCAAGACAACUCCCAGCAUCGCUCCUUCUCAGAAUGUCUGCUUCUCGGGGUUGAUUCUCUGAUUCUGAAAUAUUAAGUCUGUGAUCCCACAAAGUUAAGAUGCGGGGUUCACUUUGUUCUAGGGUUCACAACGCCGAGGUUCUCUGUGCCUAGAGAGUUUUAGAAGGACUCAGCUCGUGCCAGGCACAGAGGGUGUAACAGAGACUGAGCGAGGAGAGACAGGGCCCAGGCUUCAGGGCCCCCCGUCUAGCUGGGGAGAUGUCGAGGGGGUGGACAUGUGAUGCUGUGUGUGUACCCGACCUGGAGUGAGGUGACUUCCCCUGAGUCAGGCAGCGGAGCGAUGCAGGGUCUCCCUUGGGCCUGCUCUGUUCCUGCCGAAAAUCCAGGGAGUAGCCACGUGGGCAGCGCUUCCCUGCCUCGAAGCACAGCCUGUCGCCAGGAGUGGCUGGGCAGGAGCCCUAGGGCCAAGAGAGACCAACCCCCCCUGAGAGAGGCCUCACAGGACCCCUGCUCACAGCAGCUCCGAGGACCAGCACAGGGCACCUCUCCACGGAGCCCCACGUGGGCCCUGACUGUCAGCUCCUCUGGCUGUGUCCCUGAGAGGACACUGGGACUUGGGGAUCUGGGUGAUGAGGGCGAAGCCCUCAGGUGUGGGCUGCGUCCUUCCGUGAAGGCAUGGGUAUAGGUUCUGGGGUAGUGACCUCGGGGCCCUUCUCACUUUCCACCCUCACUUCUCUGCCCUCACUUGCUCCCGACACCUACCCACCCAUCCACCCAUCUAUCCAUCAUGCAUACAUGCAUCCGUCCACCUAUCCGUCCACCCAUCCAUUAUCCAUCCAUCCAUUAUCCAUCCAUCCAUCCAUUAUCCAUCCAUCCAUCCUCCCCAUCCGUCUAGCCACUCAUCUACCUAUCCAUCCAUGUAUCCACCCAUCCUAUUAUCCAUGCAUUCAUCCAUCUUCCAUCCGUCUAUCAAUCUAUCCAUCUGUCCAUCCAUCCAUUCAUCCAUCCACCAUCUACCCAUCUACUCAUUCCACUUACACGUCCUCUAGGAAAUAAUUACAAUGAUGUUUCUCUAUCUCCUCUCUCCUCUUCCCUUUCUCAUUUACACACACACCUACCCCUGACAGGAGAAAACAGUAAUUCUCAAAGACCACGGAGUGAAACCUGGUGGGGCUCGGAGAGCCUUAGGUCUGCAGGUGGUUGGCAGGCAGCUCUGGAACUUGCAACACCUGACAUGCAGACACUCCGUUUUUAUUUAAGAUUAUGUUAACUGGGGAGGAGAAGGGGGCUUUGG